AUACGGAGGGUGCGAGCGUUGUUCGGAAUCACUGGGCGUAAAGGGCGCGCAGGCGGUUUGUCAAGUCAGAUGUGAAAGGCCACGGCUCAACCGUGGAGGUGCAUCUGAAACUGGCAGACUUGAGUACCGGAGGGGAAAGUGGAAUUCCCGGUGUAGAGGUGAAAUUCGUAGAUAUCGGGAGGAACACCGGAGGCGAAGGCGACUUUCUGGACGGAUACUGACGCUGAGGCGCGAAAGCGUGGGGAGCAGACAGGAUUAGAAACCCUAGUAGUCC
rnacentral:rRNA from 1 species